UUUGAGAAAGUAGUCAUGUUGGGAGUCUGGCUCUCGAGAUUCGGAGGACGGUGCCUCUUCGAUUUUGGAGCAAGCAAUCUUGUUGGGAGUGUUUUCUCGAAUGUGAGUAAAGGUUGAGCAUGUUUGCUAGUCUACCUUGCCACGAAGCACAGAGGUUGACACACAGGGACUUUCCAAUUAUCCAGCAGUGGUACUGUUCCUUUACCCUUGUGGGUAAUAAUAUGGUAGCUAGACCUUCAAAAUUUAUGUGUCUAAACUUUGUUAGUGCUGUUUCUUUGCUAUUCUUUUACCUUUCUUGGUCAGAGCGAUGUAGUGGGAGCUGCAAGCUUCACGUGCUCAACUUUGGCAGAGAACUUUGGCAAAGUUAUCUGUGGUACCCAUGAGCUAUUGUUGCGUGUGGGAAGUGGGUGAUUGAACAGUAAGAUUCAUGUGCUUUCUACUUCACCAGAAGUCUUCGACAGAAUGCCCAUAAUUUCUGCAAAGCUGAGUGUGCGUGUGACAGGUGCUGACAAGGCUAGAAAAGUAGGUGCCUCUUCGAUUUCUGAGAUCGGCCCUCGUGGUCUCUGAGCAGCCCAGCUUUUGAGAAAGCGAGCGCCUCUUCGAUUUGAUUCGGGAGAACGAUGCCUCAUCGAUUUUUGAGAAAGCAAUCAUGCUGGGGGUCUGGCUCUCGAAGAUUCGGGGAGCAGUGUCUCUUCAAUUUUUGAGAAAGUAAUCAUGUUGGGAGUCUGGCUCUCGAGAUUCGGAGGGCGGUGCCUCUUCGAUUUUGGAGCAAGCAAUCUUGUUGGGAGUGUUUUCUCGAAUGUGAGUAAAGGUUGGGCAUGUUUGCUAGUCUACCUUGCCACGAAGCACAUAGGUUGACACACAGGGACUUUCCAAUUAUCCAGCAAUGGUACUGUUCCUUUACCCUCUCUUCGAUUUUUAAGAAAGUAGUCAUGUUGGGAGUCUGGCUCUCGAGAUUCGGAGGACGGUGC
rnacentral:lncRNA from 1 species